rnacentral:RNase_P_RNA from 1 species
UUGGUAUAGCAGGUGAUUGCUCAAUUUUUGAGAGGAAAGUCCGAGCUACAGAGACAGGAUUCCAUUUAACAAAUGGCUAGCGUAAGCUAAGGGAAAGUGCAACAGAAAAUAACCGCCAUUGUCUCAAUGGUAAGGGUGAAAAGGUGAGGUAAGAGCUUACCGAAGCAAAAGUAAUUGAGCUUGACAAUGUAAACCCAAUCCGUAGCAAAAAGAGUAUGGUUAGCGUCUCAAAUACAAAACUCUUUGCUUGAGCCUUAUUGUGAAAUAAAGCCUAGAUAAAUAAUCACCCAACGACAGAACUCGGCUUAUCGCUAUGCCAAAAAA